GAGGACUUUGUGCAAGUUGCCAGUGACGGUGCAAGUUGCCAGAAGACUUCAGAGCUGUAUACUAAAGGUUACAGCCGUAAUGUUGGGGGAGCAUGCCUACAAACAUGUUUGGGGAUCACUGAAGUACCCUUCAGACUACCCAGAGCGGGAUCUCUGCGCAGCUGGCUGCUUAAAUGGGCUUUUCAUUCGGUUUGCCGGCUGAGCGGCGAAGAAGCCAUCGCAGGAUGCCACGUGGGAAGAAGGAAGCUUCACCUGAGACCUGAGCAUCUAAACGCCAUCAAAGUGACAACGACGGGACUGCUUCUCUCUUUGCCUUGUGCCCUGUGCGUGAUGAUGUGUGUGAGCGUCACCGGUGUGGGAUUCCUGGGAACUGCAUGAUGCUCCAAGAAGCGGUGCUAUGACUGCAUGGAAUGUGAUGCAAAGCAUGGAGACGGUAGAGGAGGUUUUCUUGGAAGCCCUGAGGUUGGCAUCACUGGUACUUAGAAGUUGAGGUUAAACAUCUGUAAGGAAGCCUGUAAUGUACUCAUGAACUUUUCAGCCAGUGAAUUGUGCUGGGCAGAAGACAGCAAGAACAUGUGAAUUGAAAUUAGAGCUUUUCAGGUGUUAGGCUAUCUAGAAGCUUUUCAUCUGCUGGCACAAAUUUGAACAGUCUGAAAAUUCCUCCACGUUAUAUCCUAAGGACGGAGACACGGCAGCCUGCUCCGUGGGUUAGAGAUAGCAAGAGUGCAAGGCCGUCACGGUAUUACACUUAUUAUUUCAGACAAGUCCCCUCCACAGAGUCACUCCAAAGAAACGCGGAGCUGGAUUUCUCUGGUUCCCUGGUGGCACAGCUUCUGGGCUGAUGAACAGUGUACAAUGAGAAGAAAGAAGCCGAAACCCCACGUCUAUUUUUUUUGUUUAAUGAACUCUCGGUAACUUGGAGCGCGUUACAGUUUUUACUGCUCGAGAAGAGCAGCGUUGCCUGUUAAAGGCACUUCAUGAAAACUGUGUGUUCAUUCCAGGAAUUACGACUGAACACAAGUGGCACUUGCCAGUUUCAGGAAGGGAUUCAAUUUGUUUGGACCUGGCCCUUCUGACUGCUGAUAAUGAGACAUCUCAUCAUCCCCCGGUUCAUUUACCGCUUCAAUCCCAAAUGAAUCAUAACCAACGCCAAAAAGGAGGAACUCUUGGAUGGGAGGGCAGCAAGAGGAAAGCCAUUUCAAUGGAAAGAUGCAAGAGUGGAACGUAUUAUUUUGCAGAAUAAGUACACUGAGAUGUUUGACAAAGUACAUAUAGUACAAUACCCAGAUGAACUUAAUCUAUUAUGCAGCUCUGAGAUAUAGGGCAUCUGUUAGGCUGAGCUGUGAGGUUGCAAUGUUACUUCUGUUGCUAAAGCUAUUACAGUCUUCAUGUACAAAUCUAGCCAAGUCCAUCUGAAUAUGAACCAUAUUUGAAAAUUGUGUUUCUAUGUAAAGGAGCUCUGCCUAAAUUAGGCUAUUUGCAAACAGAAGUAGCUAAAGGUAACACAAGAGAACUAGAAAAUCCUGUGCUAAAUGUCACUUUUCCUGACUUUAUAUUUUUAUCCUUUUCUGAUUUUAAUUCCAGAUUCCAACCAGGUAGGUCAGGUGGAAAUCAGGCACUGCUUGAUGCUUGACUUGUGUGACUGCCAGUUCUCCUUAAAGUCCCCAGAGCAUGUUUUUACACCACCAGGUCAUUAUUUUUAAUAGAAAACUGUUCUGGUGGAUAGUGGAACUGUACUUCAGUUCCUUACCAGCGUUUCUGGAGAGGGAUACUGACAGUUUUUGGAAAGUGCUUUGGUAGAGUCACAAAGAUGCUGCGUAAGUGCAAAAGAAGUCAGUUGAAAUAUUUUUCUAGACAAAACUCCCCUUCCAUACAUGUUGAAUUUGGUUGCUAAUUGGUAAAUAUUUAUCAUUAUUUUUUCUGUGCCUGGAUUAUUUGCUUUGUCCCCCUCAUAAAAACUAUAUACAACUCUAAUUUUCAGUUUCUUGUAACUGUAUUUACUGCAUUUUUCUUGUGGACUGAAUAGCUAAGGUAGGAGCUGUUCCUGUUUUUCAAGUAUUCUGCUCAUGUUAGAAAUUUAUCACCUUGAUGCAGCCAGUUUGUUAUCCUUGCUAUGUAUAAAUACUUUCUGCCACUAUCAAUGACUGUACUAGACUGUAGUCUUUAAAGAGUUUUCAGUGUCUGCAACCCAGAGCUUAGCUGCAUCAGAAACAUUUUAUAGUGACUAAAACUUCAUGACUGUCAGGAACAAGAGAAAAGUAAUUAAGUAAAUGAAAUGUCAGUUGUUGCUUUAGACAUAAAAUCAAUCCUUUUUGCAGGAAAUCUCUUCCAAAUUUUGGCCUUUGCAGCAUCAGGCAAUUAUCAGUCUUGUGAUCCUGAUUUAGGCCGUUGCCUCGGGGAAGUCGAUAGGUCAAAUUUCACUACUCUUCUCGUUGACGUGCUGAACCUAAGUGGAAGAGAGACAUUCAUUUCUAUUAUGAAACAAAAAAACCCACCCUGGUUUUGUGGAGGAGUUCUGGCCAUUGAAGUGUUGAAGAAGCUAUAAGAAGGUGUGUGGACCCUGAACCCUUUUUGCCUGGCAGUUCUGCUCAGCAGCUUCCGAUAACGCUUGGCCAUUACGCAGAAAUUGUUCUCUAGAGUGGCCAAAAGGAAGGAGGUAAUACUGCCGGUGUGGAGUCUUGCUCAAAUGGAAAGGCCAAAAAAGCUGCAUUUGAAUAGCUGGGCUCUGAAAAGAAUGGAAGGAUGGACUUCUCUAGGAUGGACUAUGCCCCUUGUACAGCUGUGAAUAAAGCAGUCCAACAUUUGUGCUCCUAAGGGAACUUAUGAACAACAUUACAACGUGGGAGUGCAAGAUAAAAAAAUAUCUGCUGGCUUCACCAGGCUAUUGUACUUCAAUUUUUGCUUAAAAUCAAACACCUAAGUUAAGUAAAUUUAGACCACUUGAAAGUCUUCCAAGUGCUACAGUGUUCAAAGAGUAGAUUGGGGAUGUCAAAUUAUUUUUACACAGUAAGUUAACUAAUUGAAAUCUAACAGUACUUCAUUACUUUGUGAUUAUUUUUUACAAGGAAACAGAAAAUGCGUUUGUAGUUGCCUGUAUUUUGAAUACAGCAAAAAUCCUGUAAUUUGAGUCCUGUUGGUAGCAGUUAUCAGAAUCCUCUUAUGCAAUUGUUCAUGUCUAUUUUGUAAGCUGUGUUCAAACUUG